rnacentral:rRNA from 1 species
ACAAGUACCGUGAGGGAAAGUUGCAAAGCACUUUGAAGAGAGAGUUAAAGAGGACGUGAAACCGGUGAGGUGGAAACAGAUAGAGUCGGCGUAUCUUUCAAGUAUUCAGUUACAUUAUUUUUAUGUUGUGACCUCUGAGCUCCAGAUUGGGACAGAGGGAAUCAGCAUAAUUUUUUGUGGUGCUUUUACUUGAUUGGUGCUUGGGGAUGUUUGAGGCAGAUUUGUUUCCGUCGUUUUGAGGCCAGCUUGCUGGUACCCAAACGGUGUUAGCAUUUUUUGUCUUGGGCAUUUGAGUAUGGCUCACGUGUAUUUAUUGGACAGAUCUGAGUGUAAGUUACGGUCGCAUGCGACACGUGCUUUUCAAUUAGUUCGGUCCAGUUAAUGCUCUCGUACUCGUUUCCCAUGUAAAAGCCGGUCAUCUAUCCGACCCGUCUUGAAACACGGACCAAGGAGUUUAUCGUGUGCGCAAGUUUUUGGGGGUUAAAAACUUAAAAGCGAAAUGAAAGUAAAUGACUCUUUAGAGUCUGAUGUGCGAUCUUGUAAAAAAGUGUAGCAUGGCCCCAUUCUAACUGUUUACAGUAGGGUGGCGGAAGAGCGUACGCGGUGAGACCCGAAAGAUGGUGAACUAUUCCUGAGCAGGACGAAGCCAGAGGAAACUCUGGUGGAAGUCCGAAGCGGUUCUGACGUGCAAAUCGAUCGUCUGACUUGGGUAUAGGGGCGAAAGACUAAUCGAACCAUCUAGUAGCUGGUUCCUUCCGA